GCCGGGCGUGGUGGCGCGCGCCUGUAGUCCUAGCUACUCGGGAGGCUGAGGCUGGAGGAUCGCUUGAGCCCAGGAGUUCUGGGCUGCCGUGUGCUAUGCCGAUCGGGUGUCCGCACUAAGUUCGGCAUCAAUAUGGUGACCCCCUGGGAACGGGGGACCACCAGGUUGCCUAAGGAGGGGUGAACCGGCCCAGGUCGGAAACGGAGCAGGUCAAGAAUGAAGGCCAAGCCACAGGUUUUCCCUAUCCUUCUGCUGCUUGAUAUCUCUUGUUUUUCAGACUUCU
ensembl:misc_RNA Metazoa_SRP Metazoan signal recognition particle RNA